ACAAUUAUUAUUAUUAUUAUUAUUAUAUUUCAUUAUUAUUAUUGUUAGUAUAGACCUGUAUUGCGUCACAAGCCAUGAGGAGGAGCGGGGUGUUCUCUCCUGAGCGUGAAGCGGGCGGGCGGUGCUGUCUGGGCAGGGGCCACCCAACACUGAUGACCAUUCCCGCCCCUCCGGAAGCUGGGAGGGAGAGAGCAUGGGCUGAGUGGU